AGACUGGCGGCUGCCAGGGGAUAAGGAAGCAGUGGCAUUGGAAUUCAAGACUGUCUCUCUGACCUUCCUGAAUGACUCAGCAAUAUGAAGUUAAAAUCAGGUUCUUCUUUGGAAUUGGUGGCUGGCUGCUUGCUUAUGAGUGUAGACAUGUGACCCAAACACUCCUCCAUCACUGCUCUGUGGCCUCAGGUAAGAGAAGUUACACAUCGAAGAACUGGGUAAUCAUUCAGUUCCACAUCACUGAACUACCUCAGAGGAAACUUAAAAUGCUGCAAAAUCAUGAUUACUUAUCCAAAGAGUAUACUUAUCCAAAGGGUUUUACACUUACAUUUUUAGUGUCUGGAUGAAUCUGUUGAUAUAAUCAUUACUUUAAUCUCUUUCCUUGACUCAGUAAGAAACCAACUGGCAUGUUAUAUAUUACAUAUAUAGCUACCUUGUAUGGAAAUUUUAAAGAAUAAUAGUGUGGCUUUUAGGAUUGACUUACUAGAGAAAAUAAAUAAACAUAAGAUAAUAUUUUCAUCUAAAUUUAAAAAAUAUUUUCCUGCGAAGUAAGUCAUAUAUACAGA